CACAAACUAAACCUAAUCUUCAAAUUCCCAAAUCGAAAUCAAAAACCCAAUUCUAAAAACUUAAAUUUUUUCCUCUAUAAUACCCACUCACAUCAAUCCAGUUACAUAAAUCUCAACAAUUGAAUCUAAAAAACUCUUCAUUACAUAAAAUUCAUCAAAUUAAGAGACCCCAAUUGCCUUAAUACAGUUAAAUGAAUAACCCAAUUCUAAAAAAUUAAACUUUUUCCUCUAUAGAAGCCACUCACAUCGACCCAGUUGCAUAAAUCUCAAUAAUCAAAUCUAAAAAACUCUUCAUUACAUAAAAUUCAUCAAAUUAAGAGACCCCAAUUGCUUAAAACAGUUAAAAAAAAUCCCAAAUCAAGGUUGUUGCGUUUAACCCCAAAACGCAAACAAUGGUUCACGCUCUUUCAGAUCUGGAUUCUUC
rnacentral:lncRNA from 1 species